rnacentral:rRNA from 1 species
UACGGAGGGUGCAAGCGUUAUCCGGAUUCACUGGGUUUAAAGGGUGCGUAGGAGGGCAGGUAAGUCAGUGGUGAAAUCCCCGAGCUUAACUUGGGAACUGCCGUUGAUACUAUCUGUCUUGAAUACCGUGGAGGUGAGCGGAAUAUGUCAUGUAGCGGUGAAAUGCUUAGAUAUGACAUAGAACAUCGAUUGCGAAGGCAGCUCGCUACACUAUGAUUGACACUGAGGCACGAAAGCGUGGGGAUCAAACAGG